rnacentral:rRNA from 1 species
AGUGAACACUGGCGGUAGGCCUAACGCAUGCAAGUCGAACGGCAGCACAGGAGAGCUUGCUCUCUGGGUGGCGAGUGGCGGACGGGUGAGGAAUACAUCGGAAUCUACUCUGUCGUGGGGGAUAACGUAGGGAAACUUACGCUAAUACCGCAUACGACCUACGGGUGAAAGCAGGGGACCUUCGGGCCUUGCGCGAUUGAAUGAGCCGAUGUCGGAUUAGCUAGUUGGCGGGGUAAAGGCCCACCAAGGCGACGAUCCGUAGCUGGUCUGAGAGGAUGAUCAGCCACACUGGAACUGAGACACGGUCCAGACUCCUACGGGAGGCAGCAGUGGGGAAUAAUGGACAAUGGGCGCAAGCCUGAUCCAGCCAUACCGCGUGGGUGAAGAAGGCCUUCGGGUUGUAAAGCCCUUUUGUUGGGAAAGAAAUCCAGCUGGCUAAUACCCGGUUGGGAUGACGGUACCCAAAGAAUAAGCACCGGCUAACUUCGUGCCAGCCGCCGCGGUAA